UCCUUUUCUCUUUCUCUAUUCUUUCUCUUUCUCUGUUCUGUCUCUUUCUCUUUCUCUAUAUUCUCGAUUGUACCAGACUACUGGAGUCAUAUUUCAUCAAUUUGAAUCGAUCUUCUCUUCUUCUUCUUCAUAACUACUGGAACCGGUUACAAGCCGUAACCGAACCGUUCCAAGUCGGUUCCGGCAAAAAAAUGUAGCAACACCGAACCGGAAAAACAUCAUCGGUUCCGGUUUCGGUUCCGGUAAAAAAAUU